rnacentral:rRNA from 1 species
UACAGAGGUGGCAAGCGUUGUUCGGAUUUAUUGGGCGUAAAGGGUCCGUAGGCGGUUUGGAUAGUCAGAUGUGAAAUCCCACAGCUCAACUGUGGAACUGCAUUUGAAACUUCCAGACUAGAGUGUGAGAGGGGUAAGGGGAAUUCCCGGUGUAAGGGUGAAAUCUGCAGAGAUCGGGAGGAACACCUGUCGCGAAGGCGCCUUACUGGCUCACUACUGACGCUCAGGGACGAAAGCUAGGGGAGCAAACGGG